CAGCCGCCACGGUAAUACGUAGGGUGCGAGCGUUAAUCGGAAUUACUGGGCGUAAAGCGUGCGCAGGCGGUUGUGUAAGACAGGUGUGAAAUCCCCGGGCUUAACCUGGGAACUGCGCUUGUGACUGCACAGCUAGAGUAUGGCAGAGGGGGGUGGAAUUCCACGUGUAGCAGUGAAAUGCGUAGAGAUGUGGAGGAACACCGAUGGCGAAGGCAGCCCCCUGGGCCAAUACUGACGCUCAUGCACGAAAGCGUGGGGAGCAAACAGGAUUAGAUACCCGAGUAGUCCCUGUCUCUUAUAC
rnacentral:rRNA from 1 species